GUUGUUGCAGUUAAAAAGCUCGUAGUUGAAUUUCGGGAUCAAUGUUUCGGUCAUGCCGUUGGUAUGUACUGAUAUUAUUGAUUUCUCACCUUCUAAAGAACCGUAAUGCCAUUAAUUUGGUGUCACGGGGAAUUAGGACUGUUACCUUGAAAAAAUUAGAGUGUUUAAAGCAGGCUCACGCUUGAAUACAUUAGCAUGGAAUAAUGAAAUAGGACAUCCGAUUCUAUUUUGUUGGUUUCUAGGAUCGAUGUAAUGAUUAAUGGGGAUAGUUGGGGGCAUUAGUAUUCAAUUGUCAGAGGUGAAAUUCCUGGAUUUAUUGAAGACUAACUACUGCGAAAGCAUUUGCCAAGGAUGUUUUCAUUAAUCAAGAACGAAAGUUAGGGGAUCGAAGACGAUCAGAUACCGUCGUAGUCUUAACCAUAAACUAUGCCGACUAGGGAUCGGAUGAUGUUAAUUUUUUAAUGACUCAUUCGGCGCCUUACGGGAAAC
rnacentral:rRNA from 1 species